rnacentral:rRNA from 1 species
UACGGAGGGAGCUAGCGUUGUUCGGAAUUACUGGGCGUAAAGCGCGCGUAGGCGGCUUUGUAAGUUAGAGGUGAAAGCCCGGGGCUCAACCCCGGAACUGCCUUUAAGACUGCAUCGCUUGAAUCCGGGAGAGGUGAGUGGAAUUCCGAGUGUAGAGGUGAAAUUCGUAGAUAUUCGGAAGAACACCAGUGGCGAAGGCGGCUCACUGGACCGGUAUUGACGCUGAGGUGCGAAAGCGUGGGGGAGCAAACAGG